rnacentral:rRNA from 1 species
AACGAACGCUGGCGGCAUGCCUAACACAUGCAAGUCGAACGAGACCUUCGGGUUUAGUGGCGCUCGGGGGCGUAACGCGUGGGAACCUGCCCUUAGGUUCGGUAUAAUUCCCCGAGAGGGAUGCUAAUACAGGUUAAUCUCUUCGCGCCUAAGAUCUAUUGCCUUUGGAUGGGGGCGGGUUGGAUUAGCUAGUUGGUAGGGUAAAAGCCGGUCAAGGCCAGGUUGCAUAGCUGGUAGGUGAGGAUGAUACGCCAGGAUGGGACUGCGACACGGCCCAGAAUCCUACGGGAGGGAGCAGAAGGGAAUACUGGGCGAGGGGCGAAAGCGUGAUAAAGCAAUGCCGCGUGAGUGAUGAAGGCGUUAGGGUUGUACAGCUGUUUUACACGGGAUGAUAGUGACAGUACCGGGAGAAUAAGCUCCGGCUAACUACGUG